UUUCUAUUUUUAAAGGGACAGGACACUAAUUCUACCCCACUUCAACCUUGAAUUCAGGGGGGUGGGGGGAAGGCGGCUGAGUUCCUUCCCCCACCUUCCAGCCCUGAGCCCUGAGAGGGGGAUUGAGCCUGAGAGAGGAGAAGGAGUUUCUUCUUCUUCGAAAACCCCCAUCCACGACUCCUACCCCCUCACCCCUCCAACUCGCCUCCCUCCCGAGCCCCCUCCACCCUCCUCCUCUUUGGCCGUGAGAGGAGGAGAGAAAGAAACCAAAAGCCUCUUAGCAACACAGACCCUUUGCUGCUGCUGUUGCUGCUGCUGCUGCUGUUGCUGCUGCUGCUACUGCUGCUGCUGCUACUGCUGCUGCUGCUACUGCUGCUGCUUGGCCCUGGCUGGAGACAUCUCACUACACCCAGGAGCAGCCACUUCCCCAGCUCUCCUCCUCCUCCUUCGCCUCCUCCUCCUCCACUCCCCCCCUUUAUUACCCUUUGUGUCAUCCUCCACAGCUCCAGGGAAGGCACUCAAAAGUGGGGGGCAGGAAAGCCCACAUAUGACAGUGGACAUAGAGGACAACGCAGAUAUAGAACAUUUCUUUUAUCACAAUGUACAUUGAAGAUGUCAGUUUCUACAUGUGGGAAGUAGACAUUGAAGGCUUUAUGGUUUACAGACAAGAUCUUUAGAAGUUAAGCACUAAAGGACCAAGGAAAUAAAUACCAGAAAUCAAGAAGAGCACAGACUAUUUUCCUUCAUCAAUCCAUAGAACCCUAAUGCUUCUUUAGUUCCAUCAAACACAGAGGAAUGACCACCAUGGCAGAUGGCAACAGAGGAUGUCAACAAUUUUUUGGAGAGAGAAGAGGUACUCCCUUAUAGGGACUCGUAAAGACGUAGAGCAUCUGGAAAUUAACUGCCUCCAUUACACUGCUGAGUCACACACA
rnacentral:lncRNA from 1 species